GACGAACGCUGGCGGCGUGCCUAAUACAUGCAAGUUGAGCGCUGAAGGUUGGUACUUGUACCGACUGGAUGAGCAGCGAACGGGUGAGUAACGCGUGGGGAAUCUGCCUUUGAGCGGGGGACAACAUUUGGAAACGAAUGCUAAUACCGCAUAAAAACUUUAAACACAAGUUUUAAGUUUGAAAGAUGCAAUUGCAUCACUCAAAGAUGAUCCCGCGUUGUAUUAGCUAGUUGGUGAGGUAAAGGCUCACCAAGGCGAUGAUACAUAGCCGACCUGAGAGGGGGAUCGGCCACAUUGGGAAUGAGACAAGGCCCAAAAUCCUACGGGAGGCAGCAGUAGGGAAUCUUCGGCAAUGGACGAAAGUCUGACCGAGCAACGCCGCGGGAGGGAAGAAGGUUUUCGAAUCGUAAAAAUCUGUUGGUAGAGAAGAAAGUUGGUGAGAGUGGAAAGCGCAUCAAGUGACGGUAACUAACCAGAAAGGGACGGCUAACUACGUG
rnacentral:rRNA from 1 species